AAUCUACCUGUAUUUUCAUAGAAGAUUGGUGAUCAUCAGAAAUGAUGGAUAAUGAAAACAGCCAACAUUUAACAGUAAUAUAAAUUAUAAGCAGGACAAUAAAAAAGAGAAACAGAGAUAUGAUUUCAUAUUGUCUCUUAUCCCGAUUUUUCUGUUGGCAGCCAUGAUUAUGAAACUCAACUGCAGGAUAAAUUGCUGAGCAUGUUGGAAAAUAACACACUCAGUUGACUUGAUGAUACUCUAUUUAUGCAGAUAAGUUACCUGGCCACUUCCAGCCCUUGAUAUUUACUCUUAAGGCAGAAACAGAAAAAAACAUAGGCGAUUGUUAAUGGAGUAGGCAGAGAAGGGGGUGGGGGGGAGAACAAGAUGGAAGAAGUUAAGUUGGACUGUAAAUCCAAACACUUGAGGGUGUUGAUAGCUUGCCUUCGAACAGCCCAACCUCGAAUUAGAGCUUGAAGCUUGACGACUCCUUUCAGUGCUCGUAGUGCUUUCCUUGCCUUGAACCCCCAGAAGGAGAAGAACAUGUUAUACUCUGAAUUAAACUGUUACAUAGAAAUUAACAACUCCAAUCUUUUCAUCUAUUCAUUUUACUUGGCUGUUUCAGUUUGGUAUGAUACUUUAUAAAAUGCUAAUAAAUGUGCCACGUUCACUGCA